rnacentral:rRNA from 1 species
UACGUAGGGGGCUAGCGUUGUCCGGAAUCAUUGGGCGUAAAGCGCGUGUAGGCGGCCCGGUAAGUCCGCUGUAAAAGUCGGGGGCUCAACCCUCGAAAGCCGGUGGAUACUGUCGGGCUAGAGUACGGAAGAGGCGAGUGGAAUUCCUGGUGUAGCGGUGAAAUGCGCAGAUAUCAGGAGGAACACCGGUGGCGAAGGCGGCAUCCUGGACCGGCAUUGACGCUGAGGCGCGAAAGCUAGGGGAGCAAACGGG